CUCAUGUAGUCAGCAACAUGCCCUCCAAAGAUGUACUUGCGGUGAAUCUCAGCAUCCAGCGACUUCUCGUCCUUUUUGAACCCAGCAAAUCUCUUGUCACUGUGGGGAAUGUCAAGGCCACCAUCCAAAGCUCCCUGCAGGACCAAAAAUAAUUACACCAGCGGCAAAAAAAAGCUCCAACGGAUAAAACCUAUGCAUUCUAAAACAAGUUCUGAAGUUCAGCCGAAUAGGGAGCAACAUAUAUCACUUGAUGCAAAUAAGAGAACGAAAAGCAACAACAAUGCCUUUUCACUAGGUCAAAUAGCAUAAAUAGUUGCUUUAGAAACUUGACACAAUAAAGCAGAGCACCUAAAAGCAAGUUACAGGGCAAACAUGCAAUUAAACUCCCAAGUCUAAGGUAGCUAAAGAAGAACGACCAAUCAUGAUUUGCCAAUAGUUUCAUGUCAAAGGCCUGUGACAUUGGGUGCCUAUCUGCAAUUAUAAAACUGUACAAUAAUAACACCGCUUACCUUAAGGGCACCAAACACACGGUUUCCAGUGGUGGUCCUAAUAAGACCAACAUCCAAAAGCGCACGGAAAGGCCUCCUCUCAUCAGAAGGCUCAACAGAGAAGUCCUCACCAGUGGCCUGAGCAGACAUAUAUUAGUUGUGUUCA
rnacentral:lncRNA from 1 species